UGUGUGAUGCAUAGGCUAUAUGUUUAUCAAUCGUAACGCAAAUCACAUAAAACCUUGAUUGCAGUGUGCACAAGAGGAACACAAUUUCAUACAAGAGCUCUCGUAGUAUUAUCUCACCAGAUAAGGACGGUCGGGUGAUAGUCUGUUUUUCAGAGGAGCAGCUUGAGCAGCUCUGUGGGCAAACUUCACUCAGAUAGACCCAACGAAAGUGACUGUGGCUCCAACAAAGAUGUCAAAAAUGUCUUUGGGAAUAAAAGUUUACGAGAAAAAGCAAUUCCUUACUUCCCGGAUGGUCCAAGUCUCUCUCUCCUAUUCUUAGUAUCUGAAGAUAGUUACUGUCGCUGAUAAUUGCUGAUAUAACAGAGCUCCGAUUCGUUCUCUACUGGAAAACUCUACUGCGAGUUAUUUGUACGGACUAAGACCACGUGAUGCACUCCAAGGUCAGCCUGUGAGGGCAUCUUCAAAGCGGUGAAUGGCGCAGUGAUUUCCUUUGGCUCUCCGGGCUGCUGCUGACACUCCUAAAGAUCAGAGAGGUAGGGUUUCAGGUGCUUUCGGAAGAUGGGCAGGGGCUUCUGCUGCCCUGGCUUCAGAAGGAAGCUGGUUCCACCAUUGGGUGCCAGGACAGAGAAGAGCUUGGACUAGGCUGAGUGGGAGCUGCGAGUUGCAGGAGUCCAGAUGGGAGAUGUGCCUGGAUUAGGACCUGCGCCGCUUCCUGUGUGAGACAAUACCACUUGGAUACAAAGAAGUUGAUGACUCUCAAGAGGAGAUGUGAAAGGUCCCAUAAGAACAAUCUCCCCUUGUAUCGAAGUUACUCCGAACACCUCACUGCACCACCCAAACAAACUAUGUGCAAGUAUUCCUUUUGUAGAACUGUAGUAUUUAUUAUAAGCGUAAACUCACAUCCGUCUCCAGAGCAAAUAUAUUUUGUAUUGACUACAAGCUACUUAUUUGCUAUAUUAACAGACUAAUCUCCUGUUUUAUUAAAACAUGUUUACUUGCCAACAAAUGAUCGUUUAAACGAUAAACCUACUCCCUGCAUCAUUUGUUUUAGCCAUAAGACUAAAGCUAGUUUAUCCAAAUACAUGUAACUCUUGUAAAACAUUUGACAAAACUCCAUUAUAUACAUAUCUACUGUACAAGAGCAAGCAAUAUCUAUAUCACAAUGCAGUUGUGAGCAUACUAGGCAUUCUAUAUUAUACUACAACAUCACUCUAAUUGAAUAUGGAUGUUGUGUUGGUUGAAUGUUCCAGGCAGGUUCUUUAAUUUAGAUUUCAAGCCUUGAAUGAACUAUCAACUAAGCCUCCAUAAUAUAGAGAAAACUAUAGCAGAUGUUGUAGCCAAAUCAAAUCACAUUUAUUCAUAUAGCCCUUCUUACAUCAGCUGAUAUCUCAAAGUGCUGUACAAAAACCCAGCCUAAAACCCCAAACAGCAAGCAAUG